UAUAAAUUGAGUUAAUUUCAAAACCAAUUUCAGGAAAAAUACCAGAUACUAUUGGCAACUUGCAUAAGCUAACUACUCUUAAUUUGGACACGAACAAUGUUUCUGGUGUUAUACCAUAUUCUAUCAGUUCUUGUGUCUCUCUUAAUGAAAUAAACUUUGCUGGUAACUCUCUUUCCGGAGAAAUACCAGUUGGUAUUGGAUCUUUGCUCACACUCAACUCAUUAAACUUGUCCUCGAAUAAACUUUCCGGCAAAAUUCCAUCAAGUUUAUCUGCACAAAAGCUUAGCCUUCUUGAUUUAUCAAACAACCAGUUGUCUGUUCCCAUACCAGAUUCACUUGCUAUCUCAGC